CAAAAACAUGUCUUUUUGAUAGUUUAUUUAAGGUCUAACCUGCCCAAUGAGUAAUUGAAUGGCCGCGGUAUUUUAACUGUGCUAAGGUAGCAUAAUCAUUUGUCUUUUAAUUGAAGGCUGGAAUGAAAGGUUGGACGAGGCAUCAGCUUUCUUUAAUUUAAUAGUAGAAUUUAAUUUUUUAGUUAAAAAGCUAAAAUUUUUUUAGGUGACGAGAAGACCCUAUAGAUCUUAAUAGAAGGAAUAUUUAUUAAUUUAGAUGUUGAAUAUGAUUGAAAUAUAUAAUUUUAUUUAAUUGGGGCGAUUCUAGAAUUUGAGGAACUUCUAGUGUUAAUUUAUCAUUAAUUAAUGAAUUAUUGAUCCAUUUUUAGUGAUUAAAAGAUUAAGUUACCUUAGGGAUAACAGCGUAAUUUUUUCAGAGAGUUCAUAUUAAUGGAAAAGUUUGCGACCUCGAUGUUGGAUUAAAAUAAGUAUUUGGUGUAGCAGCUAAAUUACUAGGUCUGUUCGACCUUUAAAUUUUUACAUGAUCUGAGUUCA
rnacentral:rRNA from 1 species